UGGGGAAUAUUGCACAAUGGGCGCAAGCCUGAUGCAGCCAUGCCGCGUGUGUGAAGAAGGCCUUCGGGUUGUAAAGCACUUUCAGCGGGGAGGAAGGCGGUGAGGUUAAUAACCUCAUCGAUUGACGUCACCCGCAGAAGAAGCACCGGCUAACUCCGUGCCAGCAGCCGCGGUAAUACGGAGGGCGCAAGCGUUACUCGAAAUUACUGGGCGUAAAGCGCACGCAGGCGGUCUGUCAAGUCGGAUGUGAAAUCCCCGGGCUCAACCUGGGAACUGCAUUCGAAACUGGCAGGCUAGAGUCUUGUAGAGGGGGGUAGAAUUCCAGGUGUGGCGGUGAAAUGCGUAGAGAUCUGGAGGAAUACCGGUGGCGAAGGCGGCCCCCUGGACAAAGACUGACGCUCAGGUGCGAAAGCGUGGGGAGCAAACAGG
rnacentral:rRNA from 1 species